rnacentral:tRNA from 1 species
UAAAAUGGCUGAGUUAGGCAAUAAAUUGUAAAUUUAUUAACGAAUAAAUUAUUCUUUUACCA